AUUUAAAUAGUUUAAAUAAAAAUACUGAUUUGUGGAAUCAGUGAUGUAAAAUAUUACUUUAGAUA
rnacentral:tRNA from 1 species